AUUCAUGCGAUGAAAAGGAUAAGUAGGUAGAAGUACCAUUCAAGAGAGCCGGUGAUGGUGGGAAUCCGGUAUGGUUUUUUAUUGAAACAGGCCUUUGAGCACUGGAUUGAAAAAGGGUUAGCCAAGUAAAUCCGGCGGUUUCUCCCGUUAAAGAGAGUAUAAAGUGGGCAUUGCCAAAAUAGGUGGUACCGCGGAAGCUAAAACCUUUCGUCCUAUAU
rnacentral:ncRNA from 1 species